UACAGAGGGGGCAAGCGUUGUUCGGAAUUACUGGGCGUAAAGGGCGCGUAGGCGGCCUUCUAAGUCGAACGUGAAAUCCCUGGGCUCAACCCAGGAAUUGCGUCCGAUACUGGAAGGCUUGAAUCCGGGAGAGGGAUGCGGAAUUCCAGGUGUAGCGGUGAAAUGCGUAGAUAUCUGGAGGAACACCGGUGGCGAAGGCGGCAUCCUGGACCGGUAUUGACGCUGAGGCGCGAAAGCCAGGGGAGCAAACGGG
rnacentral:rRNA from 1 species